UGGGAUAUAGCCAAGCGGUAAGGCAACGGACUUUGACUCCGUCAUUUCGUGGGUUCAAAUCCCGCUAUCCCAACCA
rnacentral:tRNA from 1 species